GAUCAUGGCUCAGAUUGAACGCUGGCGGCGUAGCUUAACACGAUGCAAGGUCGCGCGUGAAAGGGCUUCGGACCCAAGUAAAGCGGCGCACGGGUGAGUAACGCGUGGAUGAUCUACCCAUGGAGUUGGGAAUAACGGCUGGAAACGGUCGCUAAUACCGAAUACGCUCCGAUUUCAACUUCGGGGGAAAGGUGGCCUCUGCUUGCAAGCUACUGCUCAUGGAUGAGUCCGCGUCCCAUUAGCUAGUUGGUGGGGUAACGGCCCACCAAGGCGACGAUGGGUAGCCGGUCUGAGAGGAUGACCGGCCACACUGGGACUGGAACACGGCCCAGACUCCUACGGGAGGCAGCAGUGGGGAAUAUUGCGCAAUGGGCGAAAGCCUGACGCAGCGACGCCGCGUGAGGGGAAUGAAGGUCCUCGGAUCGUAAACCUCUGUCAGGAGGGAAGAACCGCCACGGUGCUAAUCAGCCGUGGUCUGACGGUACCUCCAAAGGAAGCACCGGCUAACUCCGUGCCAGCCGCCGC
rnacentral:rRNA from 1 species